AUGAAGUUGCCUGCUCAUCUCUUGCUGCAUCUGUUGUUCUGGAUUCCUGCUUCCAGAGGUGAUGUUGUAAUGACACAAACUCCAGUCUCCCUGCCUGUCAGCCUUGGAGAUCAAGCCUCUAUCUCUUGUAUGUCUAGUCAGAGCCUUGUACAUAGUAAUGGGAACACCUAUUUGUCUUGGUACCUGCAGAAGCCGGACCAGGCUCCACAGCUCCUGAUCUACAUGGUUUCCAACCGAUUGUCUGGGGUCCCAGACAGGUUCAUUGGUAGUGGUUCAGGAACAGAUUUCACACUCAAGAUCAGCAGAAUAGAACCUGAUGAUUUGGGAAUUUAUUACUGCUUCCAAGGUAAUUCUCCUCCCACAGUGAUUUAUACCCCAACAAAAACAUCCUUCCUUAGAGUCGCCCAGCUGCUAAAUAUGUUACUCAUCUUUAUGAAACAGAUGCAAUAG